ACAAUACUUUAACCCCCCCCCCCCCUCCCUUUAGUCAUGCAUGGAACUUGUGUUCAUAUUAUAGAAUUAACAUUUGAUGACAUGUUUUUUUAAGGACCAGAACUUGAUGCACUAUGAUGAUUUGAAUGUUAUGCUUACAUUGCGUUGCGAUUGGAGAAUAGAAUGUUAUGAUUGGUUUGAUAGUAUAUUGAAAGUUAUUGGUCUUAUUUUUUUAGCACUGUAAAUAUAAACAUAAUAAAUGUUGGUGUUUUUUUUUUGUUUUUUGUGUGUGUCAC